rnacentral:rRNA from 1 species
AUUGAACGCUGGCGGCAGGCCUAACACAUGCAAGUCGAACGAGUGGCGGACGGGUGAGUAAUGUCUGGGAAACUGCCUGAUGGAGGGGGAUCACUACUGGAAACGGUAGCUAAUACCGCAUACCAUCAGAUGUGCCCAGAUGGGAUUAGCUAGUAGGGGGGGUAAAGGCUCACCUAGGCGACUAUCCCUAGCUGGUCUGAGAGGAUGACCAGCCACACUGGAACUUAGACACGGGCCAGACUCCUACGGUAGGCAGCAGUGGGGAAGAUUGCACAAUGGGCGCAAGCCUGAUGCAGCCAUGCCGCGUGUAUGAAGAAGGCCUUCGGGUUGUAAAGUACUUUCAGCGGGGAGGCGUUACCCGCAGAAGAAGCACCGGCUAACUCCGUGCCAGCAGCCGCGGUAAUUC